rnacentral:rRNA from 1 species
UAGGGAAUCUUCCGCAAUGGACGAAAGUCUGACGGAGCAACGCCGCGUGAACGAUGAAGGUCUUCGGAUCGUAAAGUUCUGUUGUUAGGGAAGAACAAGUACCGUGCGAAUAGAGCGGUACCUUGACGGUACCUAACGAGGAAGCCCCGGCUAACUACGUGCCAGCAGCCGCGGUAAUACGUAGGGGGCAAGCGUUGUCCGGAAUUAUUGGGCGUAAAGCGCGCGCAGGCGGUUCCUUAAGUCUGAUGUGAAAGCCCACGGCUCAACCGUGGAGGGUCAUUGGAAACUGGGGAACUUGAGGACAGAAGAGGAGAGUGGAAUUCCACGUGUAGCGGUGAAAUGCGUAGAUAUGUGGAGGAACACCAGUGGCGAAGGCGACUCUCUGGUCUGUUUCUGACGCUGAGGUGCGAAAGCGUGGGUAGCAAACAGGAUUAGAUACCCCCGUAGUCC